rnacentral:misc_RNA from 1 species
GGGAGGCAGCCGGCCACGGUAGGGUCAGCGACUGGGGUGAAGUCGUAACAAGGUAGCCGUAGGGGAACCUGCGGCUGGAUCACCUCCUUUCUAAGGAUGGUUCUUCAGAAGCUUGCUUCUAUCGAACCGUUUUAGAAACAUCAGUGGCCAACGAUCGUCAGGAUUGUUGAGCUGCAUUGGCGGGAUUUCGCCGUCUUCGUUUCUCUUUCUUCGCGGACGAACACGCGCUGGGGCUGCAAGCUUGCAGAAUCCCUGGUCCUUGACUGGAUAUGCGUUAGGGGCUUGUAGCUCAGUUGGUUAGAGCGCGCGCUUGAUAAGCGUGAGGUCGGAAGUUCAAGUCUUCCCAGGCCCACCACACUCAUCGAGUGAGCAUUCGUCUUCUGGUUACGGGGCCAUAGCUCAGCUGGGAGAGCGCGUGCUUUGCAAGCAUGAGGUCGUCGGUUCGAUCCCGUCUGGCUCCACCAGAUGGUUUGAUCAUCGACUGAUCGUGCACCUAAAUCGUCCGCGAAACAUCACUUCGCACUUACUAGUCCGGAUGGACAGUAAGCUGCGUGAUUUCUGACAUCGUAAAGAGGAGAUCGAUCCGAGUUGGAUCGGGCAACAAGCAAUUGUUGCGCGAUACUUCAUUAUCUCCGGAUCAUUUCGGCGCUCGUGCGCCUUUCAAUGUAGCUCACAAGGCUGCGUCUGAGAGGAAUGCGAGUUGUAAAUGAUCCUUUUAGCGAAGCUUGACCGCCUCGCUAUCGGAACGAUCUUACGAAGCAAGCUGGUCUUUCUAAUCAUUGUCCGGCUGCAGAUAGCGUUCAUCGAGGGCGCGUGCCGCAAGGUAAUUCUGCAGACAACAUUCUGCCGAGUGUGUGGACAUUGAUAAUGAGAGCAAUCAAGUGCCUUAAGGGUGUUCGGUGGAUGCCUUGGCGCUGAGAGGCGAUGAAGGACGUGCUACGCUGCGAUAAGCCGU